UAGUAUGGUAUCAGAUGUCAAAUUCGUAACUGCUUUCCUGAGGGUUUUUUCUUUAGCAGUUUUCCCAAGAUCAUUUUCUUGAUUUUCCUGCCAUUCUUUUUUCUUGCCAUGGCUGAAGACGAGUUCGUAAACCCUACGGCAACUCAAUCUUCAUCCUCUCAUGCUCAACUUGAGCAAUAUCUUAAUCCAUACUUUCUUCACCAUUCAGAUAACACUAGCCUUGUCCUUGUGUCUGAACUACUCAAUGAUGAGAAUUAUACCACAUGGAGUAGAUCGAUGACUAUUGCACUUACGGUGAAGAACAAAUUUGGAUUUGUCGAUGGCUAACUUCCACGACCUACUGACGAAUCUCUCAAUUCUUGGAUUAUCUGAAACAAUGUAGUUAUAUUCUUGGAUUCUUAAUUCUCUUUCGAAGGAAAUUUCGGCCAGUGUUCUAUUUGCCGAUUUCGCGAGGGAUAUUUGGCUCGAUUUGAAGGAACGCUUCCAUCGGCAAAAUCAUCCUCGAAUCUUUCAGCUUCGUCGUGAUAUUUCUAAUUUAGCAAAAAGACCAGCUAUCUGUUAGUUCGUAUUUCACGAAAUUGAAGACUUUAUGGGCUGAACUUUCUGCUUAUCGCCAAAAUUGUUCCUUUGUGGAGGUGUUAAAUCUCUUCUUGAGUACUUUCAAAUUGAGUACGUCAUGUGCUUUCUUAUGGGACUAAAUGACUAUUUAGUCAAAUUCGGGCUCAGAUGUUGCUUAUGGAACCACCUCCAAUGAUCAAUCGCGUUUUUGCGCUGAUUUCGCAGGAGGUUCAACAGCGUGCUAUUUCAUCAGUUUCUUCUACUUCUGCGCCUUCUUCUGUAGCCUCGAUGACAUUUUUAGUUCGAGGUUCUUCACAAGCUUCGAAUUCCUCGAGUUUUGCUCCAAAUAGAUCGUUCUCUUCGAAUCAGGGCAAACGGAAGGAAAAACCGGUUUGUACUCACUGUGGGCUUUCGGGAUAUACUGUGGAUCAUUGUUACAAGCUCCAUGGUUACCCUCCUGGUUAUCGUACUUCCGACAAUUGGAAUAGUCAGCCACACUCGACUUCCUCUGUUAAGGCUGCUGAAUCCUCUUCGAAGUCUUCUUCUUGUUAUCCCUGAUUCUCUUUCAAAUAUAAGUGCCGACCAGUGCAAAGGAUUAUUGGCCUUUCUUCAGUCUCAUCUUGCAAAGGUCAAAACUGAUUCUGAUCAGAGUACUUCACACGUUGCAGGACAAGUUCUCUUUGAAGACGAUUGGCAAGGGUAGCUAUUAGCAUGGAAUUUAUCUGUUUUCUGCUAUCCCUACCGAUUCUGCUUGUUUUUCCAAUAUUGUAUGUGUUGUUACUCAGUUGCAUUCUGUUAAUAUUUGGCAUAAUAGACUUGGUCAUCCGUCCGUUAAGCAUCUUAAUGCUCUUAAAGAUGUUUUACCGUUAGAUUCAUGUAUAGCUUCGAUGACCCCUGAUUGAUAUGUCCACUGGCAAAACAACGUCGCUUGUCUUUUACUUCGAAUAAUCACAUUGCUGAAUGUUCCUUUGAUCUUAUACAUUGUGAUACUUGGGGGCCUUACCAAUCCCCUACUCAUAGUGGAUACCUGUUUUUUCUUACCAUUGUUGACGAUUUCUCUCGUUUUACAUGGGUUUUCAUGAUGAGAAAGAAGUCGGACGCUCUUACUAUUGUGCCUCAAUUUUUUAAGUAUGUUGAAACCUAAUUUGGAAAGGUGAUUAAGUAAUUUCGAUCAGAUAAUGCUCCAGAAUUAUCUUUUAUUGAGUUUUUUUCUUUCCAAAGGAGUUAUUCAUCAAUAUUCUUGUGUCGAACAUCCUAAACAGAAUUCCGUUGUAGAACGAGAACACCAACACUUGUUAAAUGUUGCCAGAUCCUUAUAUUUUCAGUCUUGUUUGCCUAUUACAUUCGGGAGAGAAUGUAUUCUCAUGGCUGCUUAUUUGAUUAAUCGAACUCCUUCGUCAAUAUUGGGCUGGCAAACUCCUUUUUCUCAGUUAUUUGGUAAAGUGGCUGAAUAUGCUGCUUUACGUACCUUUGGUUGCUUAUGUUUUGCUUCUACCACUUCUUCUCACCAUUCUAAGUUUCAUCCACGGGCUGUUCCUUUUGUUUUUGUUGGGUAUCCUCCAGGAGUUAAGAGAUAUAGAUGGUUUGAUAUUGAAAACAAAAAUUUUAUCUUUCCAGGAAUAUUAUAUUUCAUGAGCACAUCUUCCCUUUUAGUUCAAUAUCAUUGUCCACUGACUCUAUUGACCCAUUCCCGGACAUUGUUUUGCCAAAAGCUUUUGAUUUUGUUGGCAAUCCUACCGUUUCUGACAGUUCACAGCCCGUCACUGCUAUGGCUAGCCCUGUUAUGGAUGUUCGAUCAUCCCCUGAUAUGAACUCUCUUCAUAUGUCUGAUGGUAUUGAUGGUAUUUUGGUCGAUGCUUCCAAUAUGCCAUCUUCUGCUAUUGAUAUUUCACAUACUGAUGGCCAUGUUGAUAUCUCAUCUGAUGUUGUUGUAGAGAAUUCCUUCGUGCCUACUGCUGGCUUGAAUUCUAUUGUGGAUAAUGAUGUUGUGCCCGAUGGAUCUUUGAUUCAAUAACCUCCUGUUCGCAGGUCUCAGCGGGUCUCUCGACUUCCUUCUUACCUUAAGGAUUACCAUUGCAAUUUGCUUACUUUAGCCCCUUUGCCUUCUAUUUAGUCUCGGUAUCCUUUGCACAGAUUUUUGUCCUAUGACAAAUUGUCACCGACUUACAAGAACUUUAUUUUGAACAUAUCUACUAAUUUUGAGCCUCAGUUUUAUCACCAGGUCGUUCCCUUUUCUCAUUGGCGUGAUGACAUGCAUGUUGAGUUACACGUCAUGGAAGCAAACCAUAGUUGGUUCGUUGUCCCUUUACCUUCUGAACAUCAUUCUAUUGGCUGCAAAUGGGUGUACAAGAUCAAGUAUCAUUCGUUAUAAGGCUCGACUUGUUGCAAAUGGGUACACUCAACAGGAAGGCCUUGACUAUAUCAAGGCGUUCUCUCCCGUUUCCAAGCUUGUUAGUGUCAAAGUUUUGCUUACCAUCACUGUCUCUUUGAAUUGGCCAUUGGUGCAGCUAGACAUUAACAAUGCUUUUUUGAAUGGCGAUCUUUUUGAGGAGGUAUAUAUGGAUUUGCCGUUAGGCUACAAGCACAAUGUUGUUGCUUCUCAGGGGGAGCGUUUAGUAUGUCGGCUUCAUAAGUCCAUUUACGGUGUUAUACAAGCAUCCUGACAGUGGUUUGACAAAUUUUCGCAUACUUUACUGCAGCUGGGCUUCAAGCAAGCAAAAUCAGAUUAUUCCCUUUUUGUCAAAGGGUCUGGUGAUUCAUUUUUGGCUCUAGAUGAUAUAAUAAUCACUGGUGCUUCUCUAUCUGCUAUUGAUGUUUUAAAAACUCACUUUCAUACUAUCUUUAAGUUGAAGGAUUUGAGUUCUUUGAAGUACUUUUUGGGAUUGAAGUUGGCUCGUUCCUCUGCUGGAAUUUUUAUGUCUCAGCGCAAAUACACGAUUCAGUUGCUUGAAGACACCGAUUUCUUGGCUUGUAAACCGACUAAUUUGCCCAUGGAUCCACAUCUCAAAUUAAGUGCUUUUGAUGGUUUUUUAUUGGUUGAUCCUUCUGUUUAUAAGUGUCUUAUUGGUCGUCUUUUGUACCUCACCGUAUCGAGGCCUGAUAUCACGUUUGCUGUUCACAAACUGAGUCAAUUUGUGUCUCAACCGCGAUAGCCACAUCUUAAUGCAGUUCAUUAUCUCUUACGAUUUCUAAAAUCUUCUCUUAGUCAGGGUACUAUGCUGUAGCGGGCUUCCUCUUUUCAACUUCGGGCUUUUGCCGAUGUUGCUUGGGCUUCUUGUUUGGAUUCUCGAAAGUCUACCACUGGUUUUUGUGUUUUCCUUGGCGAUUCUCUGGUUUCUUGGAAAGCGAAGAAACAGAACACUGUGUCUCGGUCUUCUGUUGAGGCUGAAUAUCAGGCCCUUGCUGCAACUACAGGAGAGCUUGUUUGGUUGUUCAAUCUUUUGGCUGAUUUACAGGUUUCUACAUAGUCUCCUGCUCUUUUCUUUUGUGAUAAUCAAGCUGCCAUAUACAUUGCCACCAAUCCUAUUUUUCACGAACGAACGGAACAUAUUGAGCUCGAUUGUCAUUUCGUGCGAGAGAAGAUUUAUGCUGGCAUCAUUCGAUUGCUUCCUAUUCGGACCAAUUUUUAGCUUGCAGAUAUUUGUACUAAAGCUCUUCCUUACCCUGCCUUUUCUUCCCAGAUGGGAGUUUCAAAUAUUCUCCUUCCAUCUUGAGGGAGAGCAUUAGGAUUAGUUACUUGAGUUAUUAUAUGGCCUCUUCACUUGAUUAAUGUUAAGGCAAGUAUUAAGUUA